CUACGGGCGGCUGCAGUGAGGAAUAUUGGUCAAUGGGCGCGAGCCUGAACCAGCCAUCCCGCGUGCAGGAUGACGGCCCUAUGGGUUGUAAACUGCUUUUCUAUGCCAAGAAACCCUGUUACGAGUAACAGGUUGCCGGUAGCAUAGGAAUAAGCAUCGGCUAACUCCGUGCCAGCAGCCGCGGUAAUACGGAGGAUGCAAGCGUUAUCCGGAUUCAUUGGGGUUAAAGGGUGCGCAGGUGGGCUUGUAAGUCAGUGGUGAAAUGCUGCCGCUUAACGGUAGAACUGCCAUUGAUACUGCGAGUCUUGAGUAUGGUUGAGGUAGGCGGAAUGUGUUGUGUAGCGGUGAAAUGCAUAGAUAUGACACAGAACGCCAAUUGCGAAGGCAGCUUACUAAGCCAUUACUGACGCUGAGGCACGAAAGCGUGGGGAGCGAACAGGAUUAGAUACCCCGGUAGUC
rnacentral:rRNA from 1 species